UGUCAACCGAAGAAGACUAAUC
rnacentral:piRNA from 1 species